AGUGAACGCUGGCGGUAGGCCUACCACAUGCAAGUCGAACGGCAGCACAGUAAGAGCUUGCUCUUACGGGUGGCGAGUGGCGGACGGGUGAGGAAUACAUCGGAAUCUACUUUUUCGUGGGGGAUAACGUAGGGAAACUUACGCUAAUACCGCAUACGACCUACGGGUGAAAGCAGGGGAUCUUCGGACCUUGCGCGAUUGAAUGAGCCGAUGUCGGAUUAGCUAGUUGGCGGGGUAAAGGCCCACCAAGGCGACGAUCCGUAGCUGGUCUGAGAGGAUGAGCAGCCACACUGGAACUGAGACACGGUCCAGACUCCUACGGGAGGCAGCAGUGGGGAAUAUUGGACAAUGGGCGCAAGCCUGAUCCAGCCAUACCGCGUGGGUGAAGAAGGCCUUCGGGUUGUAAAGCCCUUUUGUUGGGAAAGAAAAGCAGCAGGUUAAUACCCCGCUGUUCUGACGGUACCCAAAGAAUAAGCACCGGCUAACUUCGUG
rnacentral:rRNA from 1 species